rnacentral:rRNA from 1 species
GGAAAAGAUAACCGCUGAAAGCAUCUAAGCGGGAAACUUGCCUCAAGAUGAGAUCUCACUGGGAACUUGAUUCCCCUGAAGGGCCGUCGAAGACUACGACGUUGAUAGGCUGGGUGUGUAAGCGUUGUGAGGCGUUGAGCUAACCAGUACUAAUUGCCCGUGAGGCUUGACCAUAUAACACCCAAACA